AGAAGAGGAAGAAGAAGAAAGACGACGACCAGAUCCUGCUGCUCCUUGUUCUUUUUCUUCUUUAUCUUCUUUAUCUCCUCCUCCUCCUUUUUCCAUUAUUGUGUUCCAUUUUGGAAGAAGAGAAGGA
rnacentral:ribozyme from 12 species